rnacentral:rRNA from 1 species
GACGAACGCUGGCGGCGUGCUUAACACAUGCAAGUCGAGCGGAGCGGCGGACGGGUGAGUAAUGCCUAGGAAUCUGCCUGGUAGUGGGGGAUAACGUCCGGAAACGGGCGCUAAUACCGCAUACUAUCAGAUGAGCCUAGGCCGGAUUAGCUAGUUGGUGGGGUAAAGGCCUACCAAGGCGACGAUCCGUAACUGGUCUGAGCGGAUGAUCAGUCACACUGGAACUUAGACAUGGUCCAGACUCCUACGGGAGGCAGCAGUGGGGAAUAUUGCACAAUGGGCGCAAGCCUGAUGCAGCCAUGCCGCGUGUGUGAAGAAGGCCUUCGGGUUGUAAAGCACUUUCAGCGGGGAGGCGUUACCCGCAGAAGAAGCACCGGCUAACUCCGUGCCAGCCGCCGCGGUAAUUC